GGAUUGGACCUGUUGUCAUGUGUGUCAGUUCCUGUUUUCCUUAUUUGGUCUGUUUCCUGUCCUUGUUCAGUUUGAUUAUUAAUUGAUUCCAUACACCUGUGUUUCCCAUAUUAUCCUGAGUUUAAAAGCCCCAGUCUUUCAGUUCAGUUUUGUCGGGUCUACAAGUCAAGUACGUGUGUCUUCCUCCUGGUCUCCAUGUUGGAUUUACUCAUGUGGUGGAUUAAUAAAGACUGUUUUGCUUAUCCUCGGCUCUGUGUUCCUUCCGGCACAGUAGUGUGACAUAAGACCUGACCUUAACAGUUUAAAUUGCGUGUCUACCCUCCAUUUGUUUUCUGGUUUUCCUCAGUCUUUUUAUUUCCGAUGUGCACCCUAUGGAUCCCCUCCUUCGCCCUAAAUUCAUCCUCCUCCUGCAGGAACAGAGGGAAAAUUCACUCGAGGCUCUUACCAGACUGUUUCUGGCUAUUGCCCAUCUUACCACCUACCCGGACAACGCACUCUGCUCAUUCUAUGACGCAAGCCUCAACCCUGUGUGCAGAGCGCCAUCAUCCAAAGAUGGCCCUCAAGCAGAUUUUUCCACCUUCGUGGAAUGGUUUCUGGCAAGAAACAGAUCGCCAUUUACCAUCGGCCCCGAGGAGGAUCUCCCCGAAUCCACUCCAGCACCAGUGCCCAGCCCACCAUCUCUCCACGGUGCGGAGCAUCAGCCCGAGCCCAACGAUUACGGAGAGCCUAUUACUGCCGCAAACAAUGAGCCAGCGCAAUCCCAAGCGACUGAGUGGAGGAUCGCCCCAGAUAUGGAGCCCAACCCGUCAGACCAGGUGCGAGAGCUGGCUACAGUGCCCACUGCAAGGGAGAGAGCCGCGGAUGGUGUGAACGUGGAGUGGAGUGGAGCCCCCUGCAUCCUGGCUGAGGGUGAGCCGAGUAUGGAGCACGAAAAUGAGGAGGAGGAGGAUCUUAUAGAUAGGGAAUCUGAACUGAAGGUUGAACUGCCCCCUCUCCUCUCUCCGUCGUCUCCGCUGGUCCCGUCCAGCCCUCCUUCGUCCUUGGUUUCCUCGUCCAGCCCUGAGGGGGCUUCCAAUUAUCCAGUGGCCGCUCCUCCAAAAUGCCCGCCCUACCACCCGCUCCUGCCUCCUCCAGCACUGU
ensembl:lncRNA